rnacentral:rRNA from 1 species
GCCGCGGUAAUACGGAGGGGACUAGCGUUGUUCGGAAUCAUUGGGCGUAAAGAGCUCGUAGGCGGGUCAGCAAGUCGGCUGUGAAAGUCCGGGGCUCAACCCCGGAAUUGCAGUCGAUACUGCUGUGACUCGAGUCCGGUAGAGGAGAAUGGAAUUCCCGGUGUAGCGGUGGAAUGCGCAGAUAUCGGGAGGAACACCAGUAGCGAAGGCGGUUCUCUGGGCCGGCACUGACGCUGAGGAGCGAAAGCGUGGGGAGCAAACA